GUGGAAGCUAGGAUUAGAAAGAGUGAUUUAAUAAAUAAAUAAAUAAAUAAGGAAUGUAUUGGAUUUUUGUAGGUAAUAUAUUAAAUAAAUAAUAGAUACUAAUAUGUAAAAUUACUGAAUUACCCUUAUUUUGAACUGAAUAGACAAAAGUACCCUUACUUUUUAACAACAAAAAUGAACAGAGUUAAGGCCGGGGAGUAUAGAGAAUCAAUAGAAACAUCAAGGAGUAAAAUGAUUAUUUUUAAAUGAUUGGUACAAAAUUAUUAAAACGACCAAAUCACAUGGAAUAAAACGAAAGUUUAGUGAAAUGAAAAUAAUCAUUGUCUAUUUUGAUUACUUUCCUAAAUCCUAAUAAGUAAACAGGCCUAGGGAGAACUGAGAAGCCAGGAGCAUAAAGCAAUUCAACAGUGUUACAAGCCACGCAUGGAUUGGAAAGCCACACACCAAGAUCAUUAUGGAACCAAAAUACACAUAAGGUGUGUGGUGUGAGACAUAAGACAUAUAUAUGGAUGUGAACGUGAUUAACAAGAUUGUUAAAUCAAAACCCUAAUUCAGACUACACACAACUGUAUCAAGAAAAGUAAGUUUACACAUGUAUUUUGUUACAUGAGCACCAAGAGACUAUUGGGGUGUGGUCAUUUGUGUUUAAUAUUGUGGAAUAUAAAAUAUAUAUAGAGUUGUAAAUUACAUUAGAGGAUUGUAAAUCAAUGAGCUAGGAUUUGAUCAGUUCUAU
rnacentral:lncRNA from 1 species